GCUUGACUCUAGUCCGACU
rnacentral:snRNA from 1 species